rnacentral:rRNA from 1 species
UACGUAUGGUGCAAGCGUUAUCCGGAUUUACUGGGUGUAAAGGGUGCGUAGGCGGGCCUUUAAGUCAGCGGUAAAAAUUCGGGGCUCAACCCCGUCCGGCCGUUGAAACUGGGGGUCUUGAGUGGGCGAGAAGGAGGCGGAAUGCGUGGUGUAGCGGUGAAAUGCAUAGAUAUCACGCAGAACCCCGAUUGCGAAGGCAGCCUUCCGGCGCCCUACUGACGCUGAGGCACGAAAGUGCGGGGAUCGAACAGG